rnacentral:rRNA from 1 species
AGAGUUUGAUCCUGGCUCAGGACGAACGCUGGCGGCGUGCCUAAUACAUGCAAGUCGAACGGUCUUUUCUAUGGAAGCUUGCUUCCACUGAGGAGAUAGUGGCGAACGGGUGAGUAACACGUGGGUAACCUGCCCAUAAGAGGGGGAUAACAUCCGGAAACGGGUGCUAAUACCGCAUAGUUUUCUUGAUCGCAUGAUUGAGAAAGGAGAGACGGCCUUUGUGCUGUCGCUUAUGGAUGGACCCGCGGCGUAUUAGUUAGUUGGUGAGGUAACGGCUCACCAAGACGAUGAUACGUAGCCGACCUGAGAGGGUGAUCGGCCACAUUGGGACUGAGACACGGCCCAAACUCCUACGGGAGGCAGCAGUAGGGAAUCUUCCGCAAUGGACGAAAGUCUGACGGAGCAACGCCGCGUGAGUGAAGAAGGUUUUCGGAUCGUAAAACUCUGUUGUCAGAGAAGAACAAGUUGGAGAGUAACUGCUCCAGCCUUGACGGUAUCUGACCAGAAAGCCAGGGCUAACUACGUGCCAGCAGCCGCGGUAAUACGUAGGUGGCAAGCGUUGUCCGGAUUUAUUGGGCGUAAAGCGAGCGCAGGCGGUUCCUUAAGUCUGAUGUGAAAGCCCACGGCUCAACCGUGGAAGGUCAUUGGAAACUGGGGAACUUGAGUGCAGAAGAGGAGAGUGGAAUUCCAUGUGUAGCGGUGAAAUGCGUAGAUAUAUGGAGGAACACCAGUGGCGAAGGCGACUCUCUGGUCUGUAACUGACGCUGAGGCUCGAAAGCGUGGGGAACAAACAGGAUUAGAUACCCUGGUAGUCC